UACAGAGGGGGCAAGCGUUAUUCGGAAUUAUUGGGCGUAAAGGGCGCGUAGGCGGCCUGACAAGUGGAAGGUGAAAUCCCUCGGCUCAACCGAGGACGUGCGGAAGAAACUGCAAGGCUCGAGUCCGGAAGAGGGGGGCGGAAUUCCCAGUGUAGCGGUGAAAUGCGUAGAUAUUGGGAGGAACACCAGUGGCGAAGGCGGUCCCCUGGGCCGGAACUGACGCUGAGGCGCGAAAGCGUGGGUAGCAAACGGG
rnacentral:rRNA from 1 species